rnacentral:rRNA from 1 species
UCUACGGGCGGCAGCAGUGGGGAAUAUUGCACAAUGGGGGGAACCCUGAUGCAGCAACGCCGCGUGAAGGAAGACGGUUUUCGGAUUGUAAACUUCUAUCAAUAGGGAAGAAAGAAAUGACGAUACCUAAAUAAGAAGCCCCGGCUAACUACGUGCCAGCAGCCGCGGUAAUACGUAAGGGGCAAGCGUUAUCCGGAUUUAUUGGGUUUAAAGGGUGCGUAGGCGGUCCGUUAAGUCAGCGGUAAAAUUGCGGGGCUCAACCCCGUCGAGCCGUUGAAACUGGCAGACUUGAGUUGGCGAGAAGUACGCGGAAUGCGCGGUGUAGCGGUGAAAUGCAUAGAUAUCGCGCAGAACUCCGAUUGCGAAGGCAGCGUACCGGCGCCAGACUGACGCUGAGGCACGAAAGCGUGGGGAUCGAACAGGAUUAGAUACCCCGGUAGUC